AUAGGAGUGGCUGAUAGCAAGGAACUUUGGAUUUCUAUGAUGCUCUGAUGAGGAAGCCAAGCGCGACGGAUUCAAAAUCCGUUGCCUUCGCGGGCGUGCCGGUUCAAGUCCGGCCUCUGGUACCA
rnacentral:tRNA from 1 species